GAUGAACGCUGGCGGCGUGCCUAAUACAUGCAAGUCGAGCGAACAGACGAGGAGCUUGCUCCUCUGACGUUAGCGGCGGACGGGUGAGUAACACGUGGAUAACCUACCUAUAAGACUGGGAUAACUUCGGGAAACCGGAGCUAAUACCGGAUAAUAUAUUGAACCGCAUGGUUCAAUAGUGAAAGACGGUUUUGCUGUCACUUAUAGAUGGAUCCGCGCCGCAUUAGCUAGUUGGUAAGGUAACGGCUUACCAAGGCAACGAUGCGUAGCCGACCUGAGAGGGUGAUCGGCCACACUGGAACUGAGACACGGUCCAGACUCCUACGGGAGGCAGCAGUAGGGAAUCUUCCGCAAUGGGCGAAAGCCUGACGGAGCAACGCCGCGUGAGUGAUGAAGGUCUUCGGAUCGUAAAACUCUGUUAUUAGGGAAGAACAAAUGUGUAAGUAAAUAUGCACGUCUUGACGGUACCUAAUCAGAAAGCCACGGCUAACUACGU
rnacentral:rRNA from 1 species